CUUGCAUGUUGGAAACAAGGAAAGAAACGUCUAAGCAUGAUGAGACCUUGGAAAACAGGACAAUGAACAGAUAGACAUCAGGAGUCAGAAAAGAUUAAGCUGAAACUAAAGAAAGACACUGAGGAGAGAACAGAAUAUCAACAUGUCAACUGUUGAAACCAGAGAGAAUGAUGCUCACAAUCAUCCUGACAGGAAAAGAUGGAGCAAAAACGAACCUCCUGACUUGAGUGAUCUGAGGAUCGUUCUGCUGGGGAAGAGCGUGUCAGAAAACAGUGAAGUGGGAAACUUCCUGUUGGGACGAGCAGCGUUUGACAGUGAAGCUCCUCCAGAUGUUGUAGAGAGAGUUGGAGGAAGAUUGAAGGACAGACACAUGAUAGUCAUCAACAGUCCUCAGCUGCUCCAGAGAAACAUCUCAGAUCAUCAGAUCACACAGACAGUAAGAGAGUGUGUGUAUCUGUCUCAUCCAGGACCUCAUGUGAUUGUUCUGCUCCUCAAACAUGAUCAGUGUUCAGCAGAAGAUCAAGAGUGUGUGCAGAAGGUGCUGGACUCUUUCUCUGAGCAUGUUUAUCAACACACCAUGGUGCUCACCACACAAGAGCCCACUGAAACCAAUGACAUCCUACAGAAAAUCAUUCAGAAAUGCUUCAGACACUUCAGUCUUCAGAGAAGCAGAUCUCCUGAUGAUCUUCUGCAGGUGUUUGAGGAGAUUGUGC